AGGGAUGGCAAUGGGCCGGAUCUGGACCGGAUCCUGCUUGGUCCAGAUCCAGAUCCGAAUUUUUUUACUUAGGUCCAGAUCCGGCCCAGAUCUAUUGGAAUCCAAAAAAUAAAAUCCAGACCCAGAUUCAUUAGAUCCACAGGGUCUCGGGUCCAAAUCCAUACUUCUUACUCUUUUAAAACAAUUAUAAAUUUUAAAUUAACUAAAAAAAAUCAAAUUUUGUCUAGAGUAUCAACAAUUAUUUAAAAAUAAAUAUUAAAUCAUAACCUAUAUAAAAAUAUUAGUAUAAAAUUUCAUAAUAAGUAAGAAUAUGAUAUUCAAGUACUAAAUAAUAUAUUAGUAGAUACACACUUAUUUUAAUUGUAUAUAUAAAAAGGGAUGAAAAAUUAAUUAUCAUAUCAUUACAAUCAAUUUUAUCUCUAUCUUCAUCACAAUAUUCAGUAACAGUUGAACAAUGUGUCUUCCAUUUUUACAUUAAAAAGGAAAAAAAUAAUAUUAUCAAUAUAAAUAAAAG
rnacentral:lncRNA from 1 species